GCGACCCCAGGUCAGACGGGACCACCCGCUGAA
rnacentral:rRNA from 1 species